rnacentral:rRNA from 1 species
AGGAAAUAGAUACCCUGGUAGUCCACGCUGUAAACGAUGAGUGCUGGACGUUGGCGGGUUUACCUGCCGGUGUCGCAGCUAAACGCGUUAAGCACUCCGCCUGGGGAGUACGGCCGCAAGGUUAAAACUCAAAGGAAUUGACGGGGGCCCGCACAAGCGGUGGAGCAUGUGGUUUAAUUCGACGCAACGCGCAGAACCUUACCAGCCCUUGACAUGGGCGGACGGGGUCCAGAGAUGGACUCUUUCUCGCAAGAGACCGCUACACAGGUGCUGCAUGGCUGUCGUCAGCUCGUGCCGUGAGAUGUUGGUUAAGUCCCGCAACGAGCGCAACCCUCGUCUCCAGUUGCCAUCGGGCAGAGCCGGGCACUUUGGAGAAA